rnacentral:rRNA from 1 species
UGCCUAAUACAUGCAAGUCGAACGCAUUGUGUUGAAAUGAUAUGAAGAACUUGUUCAGAUUUGAUUUUCAACAUUGCAAUGAGUGGCGAACGGGUGAGUAACACGUGGGAAACCUACCUCUUAGCAGGGGAUAACAUUUGGAAACAAAUGCUAAUACCGUAUAAUAAUUAAAACCGCAUGGUUUUAGUUUAAAAGAUGGUCUUGCUAUCACUAAGAGAUGGUCCCGCGGUGUAUUAGUUAGUUGGUGAGGUAAUGGCUCACCAAGACAAUGAUACAUAGCCGAGUUGAGAGACUGACCGGCCACAAUGGGACUGAGACACGGCCCAUACUCCUACGGGAGGCAGCAGUAGGGAAUCUUCCACAAUGGACGAAAGUCUGAUGGAGCAACGCCGCGUGUGUGAUGAAGGGCUUCGGCUCGUAAAACACUGUUGUAAGAGAAGAAUGACAUUGAGAGUAACUGUUCAAUGUGUGACGGUAUCUUACCAGAAAGGAACGGCUAAAUACGUG